rnacentral:rRNA from 1 species
GACGAACGCUGGCGGCGUGCUUAACACAUGCAAGUCGAACGGAAAGGCCCUGCUUUUGUGGGGUGCUCGAGUGGCGAACGGGUGAGUAACACGUGAGUAACCUGCCCUUGACUUUGGGAUAACUUCAGGAAACUGGGGCUAAUACCGGAUAGGAGCUCCUGCUGCAUGGUGGGCGUUGGAAAGUUUCGGCGGUUGGGGAUGGACUCGCGGCUUAUCAGCUUGUUGGUGGGGUAGUGGCUUACCAAGGCUGUGACGGGUAGCCGGCCUGAGAGGGUGACCGGCCACAUUGGGACUGAGAUACGGCCCAGACUCCUACGGGAGGCAGCAGUGGGGAAUAUUGCACAAUGGGCGGAAGCCUGAUGCAGCAACGCCGCGUGCGGGAUGACGGCCUUCGGGUUGUAAACCGCUUUCGCAUGUGACGAAGCGUGAGUGACGGUAAUGGGUAAAGAAGCACCGGCUAACUACGUG